rnacentral:rRNA from 1 species
AUUGAACGCUGGCGGCAGGCCUAAUACAUGCAAGUCGAGCGGAGCGGCGGACGGGUGAGUAAUGCCUAGGUAUAUGCCUGGUAGUGGGGGAUAACGUCCGGAAACGGGCGCUAAUACCGCAUCCUUUCAGAUGAGCCUCGGUCGGAUGAGCUAGUUGGAGGGGUAAAGGAUUACCAAGGCGGCGAUCCGUAACGGGUCCGAGAGGAUGAUCAGUCACAAGGGAACUGAGACACGGUCCAGACUCCUACGGGAGGCAGCAGUGGGGAAGAUUGGGCAAUGGGCGAAAGCCUGAUCCAGCAACGCCGCGUGUGUGAAGAAGGUCUUCGGAUUGUAAAACACUUUAAGUUGGGAGGCGUUACCAACAGAGUAAGCACCGGCUAACUUCGUGCCAGCAGCCGCGGUAAUAC